GGGGGGAGCGCUGGAUCUUGGGCUGUGUACCUCCGCCCCUUGGGCUCCGGGGCUUGUGCCACUGGAAUCGUGCUCCCAGGGCCACGCAGCCCCCU
rnacentral:pre_miRNA from 1 species